UCAAACUUGGUCAUUUAGAGGAAGUAAAAGUCGUAACAAGGUCAUCGUAGGUGAACCUGCGGUGGGAUCAUUAAAGGAUUCUUAUUAUUCCCUUUUCUAGGAAAGGGGGGUAUGGAGUGUGGUUCCUGAAGGGUAUAGCCUUGGUAUGGGAGAGAGUCUUUUUCUCCCUGCCAAAAAAAAGAGCUUGGGGUUUGGGUUUGGGUUUGCUGCCUGCUUGCUACUACUGCUACCUUGUGUGGGUGGUGGUGGUGGGGGUAGGCAGAGCCCCGCCCGCCGCCCCCCUUGCUCUUUGUCCUUGACAACUCUUAUGAAACUCUUUUUCAUAACCAAAAUUUCUUACCAAUUGCUAGUUGUAAAAGACUACUAAAUAAUGUUUAUACAACUACCAAUGGCGGAUCACUUGGCUCUUGCAUCGAUGAAGAACGCAGC
rnacentral:misc_RNA from 1 species